rnacentral:rRNA from 1 species
GGUAGUCCACGCUGUAAACGAUGUCGAUUUGGAGGUUGUGCCCUUGAGGCGUGGCUUCCGGAGCUAACGCGUUAAAUCGACCGCCUGGGGAGUACGGCCGCAAGGUUAAAACUCAAAUGAAUUGACGGGGGCCCGCACAAGCGGUGGAGCAUGUGGUUUAAUUCGAUGCAACGCGAAGAACCUUACCUACUCUUGACAUCCAGAGAACUUUCCAGAGAUGGAUUGGUGCCUUCGGGAACUCUGAGACAGGUGCUGCAUGGCUGUCGUCAGCUCGUGUUGUGAAAUGUUGGGUUAAGUCCCGCAACGAGCGCAACCCUUAUCCUUUGUUGCCAGCGGUUCGGCCGGGAACUCAAAGGAGACUGCCAGUGAUAAACUGGAGGAAGGUGGGGAUGACGUCAAGUCAUCAUGGCCCUUACGAGUAGGGCUACACACGUGCUACAAUGGCGUAUACAAAGAGAAGCGACCUCGCGAGAGCAAGCGGACCUCAUAAAGUACGUCGUAGUCCGGAUUGGAGUCUGCAACUCGACUCCAUGAAGUCGGAAUCGCUAGUAAUCGUAGAUCAGAAUGCUACGGUGAAUACGUUCCCGGGCCUUGUACACACCGCCCGUCACA